GCCGGAUGCUCCGACUCCUCGCAUGGGGUGUCGGGAAAGAUUUCAUCGGUAUGGGAUGGGGUCGCGUCCUAUCAGGUAGUCGGCGGGGUAACGGCCCACCGAGCCUACGACGGGUAGCCGGCCUGAGAGGGCGACCGGCCACAUUGGGACUGAGAUACGGCCCAGACUCCUACGGGAGGCAGCAGUGGGGAAUAUUGCACAAUGGGCGCAAGCCUGAUGCAGCGACGCCGCGUGCGGGAUGACGGCCUUCGGGUUGUAAACCGCUUUUGAUCGGGAGCAAGCCUUCGGGUGAGUGUACCUUUCGAAUAAGCACCGGCUAACUACGUGCCAGCAGCCGCGGUAAUACGUAGGGUGCAAGCGUUAUCCGGAAUUAUUGGGCGUAAAGGGCUCGUAGGCGGUUCGUCGCGUCCGGUGUGAAAGUCCAUCGCUUAACGGUGGAUCUGCGCCGGGUACGGGCGGGCUGGAGUGCGGUAGGGGAGACUGGAAUUCCCGGUGUAACGGUGGAAUGUGUAGAUA
rnacentral:rRNA from 1 species